CCUACGGGCGGCAGCAGUGGGGAAUAUUGGACAAUGGGGGGAACCCUGAUCCAGCCAUGCCGCGUGUGUGAAGAAGGCCCUCGGGUUGUAAAGCACUUUCAGUGAGGAAGAACGCCUGGUGGUUAAUACCCAUCAGGAAAGACAUCACUCACAGAAGAAGCACCGGCUAACUCCGGUGCCAGCAGCCGCGGUAAUACGGAGGGUGCGAGCGUUAAUCGGAAUUACUGGGCGUAAAGCGCGCGUAGGUGGCUUGAUAAGCCGGUUGUGAAAGCCCCGGGCUCAACCUGGGAACGGCAUCCGGAACUGUCAAGCUAGAGUGCAGGAGAGGAAGGUAGAAUUCCCGGUGUAGCGGUGAAAUGCGUAGAGAUCGGGAGGAAUACCAGUGGCGAAGGCGGCCUUCUGGACUGACACUGACACUGAGGUGCGAAAGCGUGGGUAGCAAACAGGAUUAGAUACCCGGGUAGUC
rnacentral:rRNA from 1 species